rnacentral:rRNA from 1 species
UACAGAGGUCCCAAGCGUUGUUCGGAUUCAUUGGGCGUAAAGGGUGCGUAGGCGGCGCGGUAAGUCGGGUGUGAAAUCUCGGAGCUUAACUCCGAAACUGCAUUCGAUACUGCCGUGCUUGAGGACUGGAGAGGAGACUGGAAUUUACGGUGUAGCGGUGAAAUGCGUAGAUAUCGAGAGGAACACCUGCGGCGAAGGCGGGUUGCUGGGCUGACACUGACGCUGAUGCGCGAAAGCUAGGGGAGCGAACGGG